GUGGGGAAUAUUGGACAAUGGGGGCAACCCUGAUCCAGCCAUGCCGCGUGAGUGAUGAAGGCCUUCGGGUUGUAAAGCUCUUUUGGCGGGGACGAUGAUGACGGUACCCGCAGAAUAAGCCCCGGCUAACUUCGUGCCAGCAGCCGCGGUAAGACGAAGGGGGCUAGCGUUGUUCGGAAUUACUGGGCGUAAAGCGAGUGUAGGUGGUUGUCCAAGUUGGAUGUGAAAGCCUUGAGCUCAACUCAAGAAAUGCAUUCAGGACUGGAUGGCUAGAGGACCGGAGAGGAUAGUGGAAUUCCCAGUGUAGUGGUGAAAUACGUAGAGAUUGGGAAGAACACCAGUGGCGAAGGCGGCUAUCUGGACGGUUUCUGACACUAAGACUCGAAAGCGUGGGGAGCAAACAGG
rnacentral:rRNA from 1 species